rnacentral:lncRNA from 1 species
GUGGUCAUAAACCUUGUGUCAAAAUUUCAUAGAUUUCAAUUUACUUAAACUAAAGUUAUAGUGCGAAAACCAAGAAAAUGCUUAUUUGGGCCCUUUUUGGCCCCUAAUUCCUAAAAUGUUGGAACCAAAACUCCCAAAAUCAAUCCCAACCUUCCUUUUGUGGUCAUAAACCUUGUGUUAAAAUUUCAUAGAUUUCUAUUCACUUUUACUAAAGUUAGAGUGCGAAAACUAAAAGUAUUCGGACGACGACGCAAGACGACGCAAGACGACGCAGGACGACGACGCCAACGUGAUAGCAAUAUACGACGAAAAAUUAAAAUUUUUGCGGUCGUAUAAAAAUGA